AUUGAACGCUGGCGGCAGGCCUAACACAUGCAAGUCGAGCGGAUGAAGGGAGCUUGCUCCUGGAUUCAGCGGCGGACGGGUGCGUAAUGCCUAGGAAUCUGCCUGGUAGUGGGGGAUAACGUCCGGAAACGGGCGCUAAUACCGCAUACGUCCUGAGGGAGAAAGUGGGGGAUCUUCGGACCUCACGCUAUCUGAUGAGCCUAGGUCGGAUUAGCUAGUUGGUGGGGUAAAGGCCUACCAAGGCGACGAUCCGUAACUGGUCUGAGAGGAUGAUCAGUCACACUGGAACUGUGACACGGUCCAGACUCCUACGGGAAGCGGCAGUGGGGAAUAUUGGAGAAUGGGCGAAAGCCUGAUCCAGCCAAGCCGCGUGUGUGAAGAAGGUCUUCGGAUUGUAAGGCUCUUUGAGUUGGGAGGAAGGGCAGUAAGUUAAUACCUUGCUGUUUUGACGUUACCAACAGAAUAAGCACCGGCUAACUUCGUG
rnacentral:rRNA from 1 species